UGGGGAAUAUUGGACAAUGGGCGAAUGCCUGAUCCAGCCAUGCCGCGUGUGUGAAGAAGGUCUUCGGAUUGUAAAGCACUUUAAGUUGGGAGGAAGGGCAGUAAGCGAAUACCUUGCUGUUUUUACGUUACCGCCAGAAUAAGCACCGGCUAACUCUGUGCCAGCAGCCGCGGUAAUACAGAGGGUGCAAGCGUUAAUCGGAAUUACUGGGCGUAAAGCGCGCGUAGGUGGUUCGUUAAGUUGAAUGUGAAAGCCCCGGGCUCAACCUGGGAACUGCAUCCAAAACUGGCGGGCUAGAGUAGGGGAGAGAGUGGUGGAAUUUCCUGUGUAGCGGUGAAAUGCGUGGAUAUAGGAAGGAACAAAAGUGGCGAAGGCGACCACCUGGGCUCAUACUGACACUGAGGUGCGAAAGCGUGGGGAGCAAACAGG
rnacentral:rRNA from 1 species